rnacentral:rRNA from 1 species
ACUAGUGAUUCAUGCAAGUCGAACGGAAACCUUCGGGUUUUAGUGGCGAACGGGUGAGUAACACGUAAGCAACCUGCCCUUAAGACGAGGAUAACAAUUGGAAACAAUUGCUAAGACUGGAUAGGAAAAGUAAAGGCAUCUUUACUUUUUUAAAAGAUCUUCUUUGAAGGUAUGCUUAAGGAGGGGCUUGCGACACAUUAGUUAGUUGGCAGGGUAAAGGCCUACCAAGACUAUGAUGUGUAGCUGGACUGAGAGGUUGAACAGCCACAUUGGGACUGAGACACGGCCCAAACUCCUACGGGAGGCAGCAGUAGGGAAUUUUCGGCAAUGGAGGAAACUCUGACCGAGCAACGCCGCGUGAACGAUGAAGUACCUCGGUAUGUAAAGUUCUUUUAUUAAGGAAGAAAAAAGAGUGGAAAAACUCCCUUGACGGUACUUAAUGAAUAAGCCCCGGCUAAUUAUGUGCCAGCAGCCGCGGUAAUACAUAAGGGGCGAGCGUUAUCCGGAAUUAUUGGGCGUAAAGGGUGCGUAGGCGGUUUAAUAAGUCUAUAGUUUAAUUUCAGUGCUUAACGCUGUUGUGCUAUAGAAACUGUUUUACUAGAGUGAGAUAGAGGCAAGCGGAAUUCCAUGUGUAGCGGUAAAAUGCGUAAAUAUAUGGAGGAACACCAGAGGCGUAGGCGGCUUGCUGGGUCUUUACUGACGCUGAGGCACGAAAGCGUGGGGAGCAAACAGGAUUAGAUACCCUGGUAGUCCACGCCGUAAACGAUGAGUACUAAGUGUCGGGUAAAAACUGGUACUGAAGUUAACACAUUAAGUACUCCGCCUGAGUAGUACGUACGCAAGUAUGAAACUUAAAGGAAUUGACGGGACUCCGCACAAGCGGUGGAUCAUGUUGUUUAAUUCGAAGAUACACGAAAAACCUUACCAGGUCUUGACAUUUUCUUGCGAAAUUAUAGAAAUAUAAUGGAGGUUAUCAGGAAAACAGGUGGUGCAUGGUUGUCGUCAGCUCGUGUCGUGAGAUGUUAGGUUAAGUCCUAAAACGAGCGCAACCCUUGUCGUUAAUUGCCAGCAUGUAAUGAUGGGGACUUUAACGAGACUGCCAAUGAAAAAUUGGAGGAAGGUGGGGAUUACGUCAAAUCAUCAUGCCCCUUAUGAUCUGGGCUACAAACGUGAUACAAUGGUUGAUACAAAGAGUAGCUGAAACGCGAGUUCUUAGCCAAUCUCAAAAAAUCAAUCUCAGUUCGGAUUGAAGUCUGCAACUCGACUUCAUGAAGUUGGAAUCGCUAGUAAUCGCGAAUCAGCAUGUCGCGGUGAAUACGUUCUCGGGGAUUGUACACACCGCCCGUCAAACCACGAAAGUUGGCAAUGCCCCAAAGCGGUCACCUAACUUCGCAAGAAGAAGGAUCCGUCUAAGGUAGGGUCGAUGAUUGGGGUUAAG